GCCGGAAUAGCUCAGUUGGGAGAGCGUUAGACUGAAGAUCUAAAUG
rnacentral:tRNA from 1 species